GUCUAAGGCCAAGCCACUCUGAACAAGCCCGAUCCAGUUUGAUCUGGGAAGCUAAGCAGUGUCGGGUCUGGUUAGUACUUG
rnacentral:rRNA from 1 species